rnacentral:rRNA from 1 species
GGAAUUUUGGACAAUGGGCGAAAGCCUGAUCCAGCAAUGCCGCGUGUGUGAAGAAGGCCUUCGGGUUGUAAAGCACUUUUGUCCGGAAAGAAAUCCUUGGCUCUAAUACAGUCGGGGGAUGACGGUACCGGAAGAAUAAGCACCGGCUAACUACGUGCCAGCAGCCGCGGUAAUACGUAGGGUGCGAGCGUUAAUCGGAAUUACUGGGCGUAAAGCGUGCGCAGGCGGUUUGCUAAGACCGAUGUGAAAUCCCCGGGCUCAACCUGGGAACUGCAUUGGUGACUGGCAGGCUAGAGUAUUGCAGAGGGGGGUAGAAUUCCACGUGUAGCAGUGAAAUGCGUAGAGAUGUGGAGGAAUACCGAUGGCGAAGGCAGCCCCCUGGGCCAAUACUGACGCUCAUGCACGAAAGCGUGGGGAGCAAACA